AGUUAAUGGAAUAGUUUGGUUCAAUAUUAAACCUAACUUUUUUCUAUCGAUAACGGAUAGAAACAUAGAAAACUCAGUAAAAAUAAAAAUUCAAUUAAAAAAUUUAAGUAUGGACCAUAACUCCCAAGAUUUAGCAAUCCAAUGGAGAACAAUACAUGAGUUAACUCGGCUCCCUCAAACAUCUACAAAGGAUCUAGAUAAAAAUAUAGUCGAAUUGUUCGAACCAAGACCAUUCGACACUGAAAUUCAACCAACAUUAUUACAUUGGAAGGAUCUAGAAAUACCAAAACAAUGGUUAUUUAACAACUUUGUAGGAGAAAGUUCUAGUAGCAAACCAGCUACUAUAGAAUUUCGAUCAUCGGGAAACAAUCUCUACUUCAGAGAUAAACGAGCUCAAAGUAGUAAAAAUUGGCAGCUAGAAUUCCCACAUCGGUUGAUGUCUGCAAGAAAAUAGACCUCCAUUAGUCAUAAACAAUGACUCAGAAUCAGAGAAAAACAACGACGAAGCAAUUGCACUAAAACAAGUGCAAAUUCCUAUAAUGCCAGGAACAAAUUAUGAAAAAGAAAAAGAAAAAGAAAGAAAUGAAAUAAAAUGAAAUUAUAAAAUUAUGUGAAAUGUAUAGUAUUCCUAAUGGGAAUGAAAAUAUCCUUUUUGCCCCAAGCCAGGGCAAAAAGAAAUAUACAUAUGUGUUAGGAGAAUUUAAGUUUACAGGCUAUAAACCAUAUAGCUUGUGUUCAUUAAUAGAUACAGGAGCAACUGUCUGUGCAUGCAGACUGGUAUCAAACACAAAAGGAAAGAGAGCAACUAACUAUUUUUAUUGAUGAUAGGGAAACUUCUUACAAGAGGAAUACAAACACAAAAGGAAAGAGAGUAAGGCUUAACAUCCGAUACUUUCUCUUCAGCAUACUAGCAUUUAUAUAUACAAGGAAAAAGUAACUCUAGUUACAAAAAUAACAUAACUAAGGUAAAUCACCAACUAUGGUUUAGUUAAAGGUGACACCUCAAUACUAUUUACAUAAUUCUAUCUACUUCUACCGCCUUCGAAGCGACUGUAGAUGUUUUAUCUGCCGUCGCGCCUGUCGGCAAAGUUAUGUGGGUCCAUUACGCUUCCAUAGCGUUGUCGAGAUUCUGAUAACCCGAAAGGCAUGACAUUUCAGUGGUAGUGUCCACAUGGAGUACUAAACGCAGUCAAUGGUUUUGACUCCUCUGUUAAUUUCCUCGAAAUAUUGUUCGGUGAAGAAAUCUCCGACAAUGAAGAAAUUUUAUAAAAUUAUGUGAAAUGUAUAGUAUUCCUAAUGGGAAUGAAAAUAUCCUUUUUGCCCCAAGCCAGGGCAAAAAGAAAUAUACAUAUGUGUUAGGAGAAUUUAAGUUUACAGGCUAAGCGUUUAUUUCAUUGUCAUCUUCAUUAGAUUCUAUAUUAAGAAAAAACAGUCUGAGAAAAAUCAGUCUGGUAAAACUAAAAAUGUUUGGACUAAAGAGAGAUUUUUAGAUUAUAUUGCAGCAACAUUGCAAGGAGACACUUUGCAAUGGUUAAAGCAAUGGGAAAAUUCACCAGAAGGGACAUUACAAAAAUUAUCUCUAUUAACAAAUUUUAA
rnacentral:lncRNA from 1 species